rnacentral:rRNA from 1 species
UAGCAAUAUCGGGCUAACCUAGUGGCGAACGGGUGCGUAACACGUGACCAACCUGCCUAAAAGUGGGGGAUAGCUCGCCGAAAGGCGGAUUAAUACCGCAUGUGAUCGUAAGAUUAAAGCAGCAAUGCGCUUUUAGAGGGGGUCGCGGCCUAUCAGCUAGUUGGUGAGGUAAAGGCUUACCAAGGCAGCGACGGGUAGCUGGUCUGAGAGGACGACCAGCCACACUGGAACUGAGACACGGUCCAGACACCUACGGGUGGCAGCAGUCGAGAAUUUUUCUCAAUGGGGGAAACCCUGAAGGAGCGACGCCGCGUGGAGGAUGAAGGCUUUCGGGUUGUAAACUCCUGUCAUCUGGGAACAAAACUCGCAAGAGCUUGAUAGUACCAGAAGAGGAAGAGACGGCUAACUCUGUGCCAGCAGCCGCGGUAAUACAGAGGUCUCAAGCGUUGUUCGGAUUCAUUGGGCGUAAAGGGCGCGUAGGCGGUGGGGUAAGUCUGGUGUGAAAUCUCGGAGCUCAACUUCGAAAUUGCACUGGAUACUGCUCUGCUAGAGGGCUGGAGAGGAGAUCGGAAUUCUCGGUGUAGCA